CCUUGACCUCACCUUGACUUCUGACCCUGGGCUGAAGCACAUGUGAUUGUCCCGUUGCUCCGCCCCCCAGCUCUUGCCAUCACCUCUGGGAGAAGUGAGCCAUGUAAUCAGCAGUCCUAUGGAGAAGCGCAUGUGCCAGGGAACUGAUGUCUCCAAGCCAACCAGUGACGCAGACCUGAGCCCCGCCGAUUCCCAUUAAAACAUUUUGGUGGGCCCCUAGAGUGUCUGGGCCUGAGCCUCUGUCUGCUGCGCCUAAGGGAGAGUUUGGCCGGUGGCUUCCAAGAACAAACAAGUCAACUCACCAGUGAUAUCUCUCUGCACCCGCCUCCUUGCUCGUUUCC